rnacentral:rRNA from 1 species
AAGGAUUAGCCCGCGUUAGAUUAGGUAGUUGGUGGGGUAAUGGCCUACCAAGCCUACGAUCUAUAGCUGGUUUUAGAGGAUGAUCAGCAACACUGGGACUGAGACACGGCCCAGACUCCUACGGGAGGCAGCAGUGGGGAAUCUUGGACAAUGGGGGCAACCCUGAUCCAGCCAUGCCGCGUGAGUGAUGAAGGCCUUAGGGUCGUAAAGCUCUUUCGCCUGUGAAGAUAAUGACGGUAGCAGGUAAAGAAACCCCGGCUAACUCCGUGCCAGCAGCCGCGGUAAUACGGAGGGGGUUAGCGUUGUUCGGAAUUACUGGGCGUAAAGCGCACGUAGGCGGACCAGAAAGUUGGGGGUGAAAUCCCGGGGCUCAACCCCGGAACUGCCUCCAAAACUAUUGGUCUAGAGUUCGAGAGAGGUGAGUGGAAUUCCAAGUGUAGAGGUGAAAUUCGUAGAUAUUUGGAGGAACACCAGUGGCGAAGCGGCUCACUGGCUCGAUACUGACGCUGAGGUGCGAAAGUGUGGGGAGCAAACAGGAUUAGAUACCCUGGUAGUCCACACCGUAAACGAUGAAUGC